rnacentral:tRNA from 1 species
ACUCCUGUAGCCCAACUGGAAGAGGCAACUGGUUUAAGCCCAGUGUGUUGUGAGUUCAAAUCUCACCAGGAGUACCA